GAUGAACGCUGGCGGCGUGCCUAAUACAUGCAAGUCGAGCGAACAGAUGAGGAGCUUGCUCCUCUGACGUUAGCGGCGGACGGGUGAGUAACACGUGGAUAACCUACCUAUAAGACUGGGAUAACUUCGGGAAACCGGAGCUAAUACCGGAUAAUAUAUUGAACCGCAUGGUUCAAUAGUGAAAGACGGUUUUGCUGUCACUUAUAGAUGGAUCCGCGCCGCAUUAGCUAGUUGGUAAGGUAACGGCUUACCAAGGCAACGAUGCGUAGCCGACCUGAGAGGGUGAUCGGCCACACUGGAACUGAGACACGGUCCAGACUACUACGGGAGGCAGCAGUAGGGAAUCUUCCGCAAUGGGCGAAAGCCUGACGGAGCAACGCCGAGUGAGUGAUGAAGGUCUUCGGAUCGUAAAACUCUGUUAUUAGGGAAGAACAAAUGUGUAAGUAACUAUGCACGUCUUGACGGUACCUAAUCAGAAAGCCACGGCUAACUACGUG
rnacentral:rRNA from 1 species